rnacentral:misc_RNA from 1 species
AAACUUUUAACCCGGGUUUUAAAUAUAUGUAUCGGCCGAUUUGUAUUAAGAAUUUAGGGAAAUAAUCUGAUUUUUGUUGAUACACUAUCUGUGAGGCGGAAGUAAAAAUGCUUUGGUACUAAUGCGGAACUGGGUAAAACAGCCUCUUCAAAUGUGAUGUUAAUUUCAUAUCAGUGAAAAUAGCCAUUUCAAAAAGGCAAAAACUUUACCAGUUGCAGGCUACCACUGACAGGUCUUCUACUUUUCUCACUUACCCAACUUUAAACAACUCCCGUCUUCUUCCUCUUCUUCAAACUCCUUCAAAUUUUUUCUGGUCUUCUUGGGAAUAUUUGAUGUUGAAUAAGAUUAACAAUUCAACAUUGAAUCUUCCAUUUGUUUUUCCUGAUCCUCAAGAUUUCAAGCUUGUGUGGUGGUUUUGA